AUUGAACGCUGGCGGCAGGCCUAACACAUGCAAGUCGAACGAGUGGCGGACGGGUGAGUAAUGUCUGGGAAACUGCCUGAUGGAGGGGGAUAACUACUGGAAACGGUAGCUAAUACCGCAUACCAUCGGAUGUGCCCAGAUGGGAUUAGCUCGUAGGUGGGGUAACCGCUCAACUAGGCGACGAUCCCUAGCUGGUCUGAGAGGAUUACCAGCCAAACGGGAACUGAUGCACGGUCGAGAUGCCUACGGGAGGCAGGAGUGGGGAAUAUUGCACAAGGGGAGGAAGCCGGAUGCAGCCAUGCCGCGUGUAUGAAGAAGGCCUUCGGGUGGUAAAGUACUUUCAGCGGGGAGGCGUUACCCGCAGAAGAAGCACCGGCUAACUCCGUGACAGCAGCCGGGGUAAUAC
rnacentral:rRNA from 1 species